GACGAACGCUGGCGGCGUGCCUAAUACAUGCAAGUCGAACGAACUCUGGUAUUGAUUGGUGCUUGCAUCAUGAUUUACAUUUGAGUGAGUGGCGAACUGGUGAGUAACACGUGGGAAACCUGCCCAGAAGCGGGGGAUAACACCUGGAAACAGAUGCUAAUACCGCAUAACAACUUGGACCGCAUGGUCCGAGCUUGAAAGAUGGCUUCGGCUAUCACUUUUGGAUGGUCCCGCGGCGUAUUAGCUAGAUGGUGGGGUAACGGCUCACCAUGGCAAUGAUACGUAGCCGACCUGAGAGGGUAAUCGGCCACAUUGGGACUGAGACACGGCCCAAACUCCUACGGGAGGCAGCAGUAGGGAAUCUUCCACAAUGGACGAAAGUCUGAUGGAGCAACGCCGCGUGAGUGAAGAAGGGUUUCGGCUCGUAAAACUCUGUUGUUAAAGAAGAACAUAUCUGAGAGUAACUGUUCAGGUAUUGACGGUAUUUAACCAGAAAGCCACGGCUAACUACGUGCCAGCAGCCGCGGUAACACGUAGGUGGCAAGCGUUGUCCGGAUUUAUUGGGCGUAAAGCGAGCGCAGGCGGUUUUUUAAGUCUGAUGUGAAAGCCUUCGGCUCAACCGAAGAAGUGCAUCGGAAACUGGGAAACUUGAGUGCAGAAGAGGACAGUGGAACUCCAUGUGUAGCGGUGAAAUGCGUAGAUAUAUGGAAGGACACCAGUGGCGAAGGCGGCUGUCUGGUCUGUAACUGACGCUGAGGCUCGAAAGUAUGGGUAGCAAACAGGAUUAGAUACCCUGGUAGUCCAUACCGUAAACGAUGAAUGCUAAGUGUUGGAGGGUUUCCGCCCUUCAGUGCUGCAGCUAACGCAUUAAGCAUUCCGCCUGGGGAGUACGGCCGCAGGGCUGAAACUCAAAGGAAUUGACGGGGGCCCGCACAAGCGGUGGAGCAUGUGGUUUAAUUCGAAGCUACGCGAAGAACCUUACCAGGUCUUGACAUACUAUGCAAAUCUAAGAGAUUAGACGUUCCCUUCGGGGACAUGGAUACAGGUGGUGCAUGGUUGUCGUCAGCUCGUGUCGUGAGAUGUUGGGUUAAGUCCCGCAACGAGCGCAACCCUUAUUAUCAGUUGCCAGCAUUAAGUUGGGCACUCUGGUGAGACUGCCGGUGACAAACCGGAGGAAGGUGGGGAUGACGUCAAAUCAUCAUGCCCCUUAUGACCUGGGCUACACACGUGCUACAAUGGAUGGUACAACGAGUUGCGAACUCGCGAGAGUAAGCUAAUCUCUUAAAGCCAUUCUCAGUUCGGAUUGUAGGCUGCAACUCGCCUACAUGAAGUCGGAAUCGCUAGUAAUCGCGGAUCAGCAUGCCGCGGUGAAUACGUUCCCGGGCCUUGUACACACCGCCCGUCACACCAUGAGAGUUUGUAACACCCAAAGUCGGUGGGGUAACCUUUUAGGAACCAGCCGCCUAAGGUGGGACAGAUGAUUAGGGUGAAGUCGUAACAAGGUAGCCGUAG
rnacentral:rRNA from 1 species